GAUGAACGCUAGCGGCAGGCUUAAUACAUGCAAGUUGAGGGGCAGCAUGAUAUACGCGAGUAUAUUGAUGGCGGCCGGCGGACGGGUGAGUAAUAGGUAGGAGACCUACCUCAUACAGGGGGAUAGCAUAGAGAAAUCUGUGGUAAUACCCCAUGAGGUUAUAUGAAUAGAGGCAUAUAAUCAAAGCAUAAGCGAUUAUGCGGUAUGAGAGGGGCCUACUGACCAUUAGCUAGUUGGUGAGGUAAGGGCUCACCAAGGCGAAGAUGGUUAGGGGUUUUGAGAGAGAGACCCCCCACAUUGGAACUGAGAGACGGUCCAGACUCCUACGGGAGGCAGCAGUAGGGAAUAUUGGGCAAUGGGCGAAAGCCUGACCCAGCCAUGCCGCGUGAAGGAAGACGGCCUUAUGGGUUGUAAACUUCUUUACUACGCGAAUAGAGGUUAGUACGAGAUACUAAUAGGAAGGUAGUGUAGUAAAAAGCACCGGCUAACUCCGUG
rnacentral:rRNA from 1 species